rnacentral:lncRNA from 1 species
AUUAAAUAUAAAAACUGGAAGUAAUUUAUUCAAAUCCUAAAAAGCAGAAUGAAUAAAAAGAAUUUGUGAAAAGACCAACAAUAUAGAGGAACAUCUUACAAAGCUAAUUGAUAGAAAGAAAGAAAGGAAAGAAAAGAAAGGGAGAAAGGGAAGAAGGGAGGGAGGGAGGGAGGGAAGGAGGGAGGGAGGCAGGAAGGAGGAAGGAAGACAAACAACAACAGAAAACAUUGAGAAUGGAGGUCUUCCUGUUUCCAGUCCUACAUGCAAGGAGCUUGAACGUUGUCACUCCCAUCCUCACAACAAAGGAAGAGUUGAAAAAACUGAAAGUCAGCAAUUCUUCUCAGAUCCAUCAGAGAACUCAGGUGACAGGGCAAACUGCUGCCCCCAAAACUGAUGAGACAGCCAGGUGGACACAAGGAAUCACAGCUCACUGGAGCAGAAUCCCAGGAGGAGAAAACUCCACCAGAAGCAGUGCCAAGAAAGAAAUGAAUUCCCUUCUGAAGUCAUCUCUGCCAACUCACAGUGGGCACCAUUCAUCCCCAGCUGAGAAUCAAUACGCUUACAGACACAGCCUCAUCAUCUUCACAACCCUUUCUAUUUUUUAAUCAUCCACGUGCUGAGCACUGAGACAUGCACUAUACACAUGUUAUUUCUAAGCUUCAAAACAACUCUACUAAGGAAGCAUCAUUGUCCGUAUUUUGUAGAUGAAGAAACCGAGGCUCAAAAAAAUAAUGUGCUUCAUCCAGCUGACAUGAUUCCUUCAGUGCCUUGCUAAUUGCCUCCAGCCUAUCCUUGGUGCUUGCAAUUCCAAACACUCCUUUAAAAACAAAUUAGGUAAAUCUCCCUCUUGCCCACUGUGCAUUUUCUGUCAUUGUCCUUGGAGUAAUGAACUUUCCCUGGGCUUAUGAAAAAAAAAAAGCAUGGAAGUUGAAAAUAUCCAGUUUAAUGUAGCAGGGGGAUAGUUCUGAUUGAUCAACCAAAUGCUUCUUUAUCCCCCAAAUUAGCAUUUCAAAAAUUUCUGCCACAUCUCAUUUUCCUGAGUCUUAACAGGCUAAAACAGCAAAUGGGCAAAUGUUGCAAUUUUCUAACUGAGAUGAUCACCCUGACACAGGCUUAGGUUUGAAUAUGUCUGUGCACAUGCGGAUGUGUAUGCGUUGAGAUGUGUUCUGUGGAUAUGUGUGUGAAGGGGUGCUUCAGAACAUGUGGUUACUCCAUACCUACUCCCAGUAGACUUGGCCUCCUGAGGUCUCCAAAAACAUGGAGAACCAAAGACCUUUAAACUACAAAUUAACUGCUGACCCCAAGUCUCCUAGCUGAAUGAAAAGUGGGAUAGCACUGGCUCAACCCAGCUCAAUGACGUGAGUUUUUACAAAAUAUUUGGACAUUGAGCUCCUCUCCACACUACCUUAUCUUCCUACACCCACCUCCACCUCUACACUCAGAGCCACCUAUACUCUAUAAUAAACAGGACCUAUUACCAGAGCUUAAAACAUGAGGUGGGCUCCCAGCGGGGAGGUAUCUUUUCUUGGGGACAUUCACACACACUGGCAAACCAGUGCUUGGAAUUAGGACCCAUCCCCUCCUAGAUUUUUAUGACCAGAGUCAAGUUUCCUACCCCAGACAAAGAGCAAAGUUCCCGACCCUGAACAGUGCCACUCUCACCCACCAUACCUUAUCACAAAUGAGAGGAACAGGAUGCAGAGACAUGGGUCUCAAAGUGGCAGCCCUGGGACACUGAGAGUGGAAGAUGCCACAUGAGAAAAGAAAGGAAGAAGAGGUUAGGUGGCUGAUAAACCUGGAAAGGAAUCCUGGAAUGGGAGUCCGCUCUGGUGGUUCACAGAGUACAUUAGUCCUACAAAGGCUCUGAGGAAUUCUGUGAUAAAGAAACCUGUUUAACUGGAUUCAAUCCAAAUUUAUUUGGCUGCACAAUGGUCUUUUCUGCAUAACUUCACUUAGACUCCUGCAGAACUAACGUUCCCCUGAGCAGUUUGGCGGAAAUGCUAUUCUAAGUUAAAAGGAAAUGAAGGCUGUUUCUGUCAAGGAAUUAUCUCUCACAAAGGAAACAUUUAAAGAAAAUGAAAAGAGAGAGAGAGAGACAGAAACAGAGAGAGAAUGCAGCCCAGGCAGUUUAGAUCCUCACCACAGCCUGUCUAGCAAAUCUCAUUUCUCUAUCUGGGUCUCUUUUUAAAUUUCCUGCAAGAUUUUGUGCUAAUUUUGUGUGUGUUAACAUCUGUGUAGAGGGUGCAUGUGUGUACUGAUGUGUGUGUGAGGGCAUUCCCAGGAACAAAGGGUUCUCUUCAAUGGUGGAAAACAAGAUUGCAUCUAAAUCCCCUCACAAAGACACCACAGCUCUUCCAGCACAUCACCAGGACUGAAACCAUGCCAACUGAGCUUUCAACCAUGCAUUAAAAAUUAGAAUUAAAAUGCAAUACCUUAGGGGUAUUUUCCCCUCUUAUAGUGAAUUAGCUUAGGAGCAAAUAAAAGCCUAAUUAUCUAGGAAAAGGGAUCACGCUUUUCACUCCACAGAGAUUCCAAGGCUGGCCCUAUUCUGUUUGAGAGUUCACAUCACAUGACAAUGAUGAGAGGAUUUGGUGUCACCCAACUGAAUAGCCCUGCCCCAGGUCACUCUUUACCUCCCUGUGUCACUCCUGAGAGAAACGCAUAUGCCUGACAAAGAUGGCCAGGAAUCCAGCAUCACAAGUCUGCUUUUGGUCAACAAGGACAAGAAGGCAUGAUUGUGACUCUAAUUCCACCCUGACCUCAGAUGGGAAAUGUUAUGAACUGUGCAGCAUUGAAAGGGUGAAAACAAGUUAACAGAAAAGGAAUAACAGAAGAGGGUGGAAACAAGUGAACAGAAAAGGAAGGCAAGCUUAGAGGCUGAUGUGGGUUUGGAUGUGUGUCCCCUCCAAAUCUCGUGUUUAAAUGUAAUCCCCAAUGUUGGAGAUGGGGCCUGGUGGGAGGUGAUUAGAUCGUGGUGGUGGAGGGGAGAUCCCCUCAUGAAUGGUUUAGCACCAUCUCCUUGGUGAUAAGUGAGUUCUUUCUCAACUGGUUCACACAAGAUCUAGUUGUUUAAAGUGUGUGGAACCUCCUCCCCUGUCUCUUGCUCCUUUUCUCACUUUGUGAUAUGCCAGCUCCCUUUUGCCUUCCACCAUGAUUAUAAGUUCCGUGAGGCCUCACCAGAAGCCAAGCAGAUGCCAGCACCAUGCUUCUUGUAUAGCCUGCAAAACUGUGAGUCAAAAUAAACCUUUUUGCUAUAUAAAUGACCCAGUCUCAGGUAUUUCUUUAUAGCAAUGCAAGACUGGAUUACUACAAAAAAUUGGUACUGAAGAGUAGGGUGUUGCUAUAAAGACACCUGGAAAUGUGAAGGUGGCUUUAGG